rnacentral:lncRNA from 1 species
UUUUGGCCAAACCCUCUUCAACACCGGAUGAUCCGAUGCUCAGCUCAAGACCAUCGGAGCAAUUAUUGGAUAUAUUUUUUACUGGUACUUUUCUAACGGUCAUAAUUUGGACUUGUGUGUGACCAGAUGUUCCGAUGCCCUAGGGAUGGAAACAAUCAGAUCAUCCAAUGGUGUGCUUUUCUAUGUACACUUUUCCAACAGCUAGAUAGUGUUGUCUAGCCUAUUUAUACCCCUUCC